UACGGGGGGUGCGAGCGUUGUCCGGAAUCACUGGGCGUAAAGGGCGCGUAGGUGGCGUCGUAAGUCUGUGGUGAAAGCCCGGAGCUCAACUCCGGGUCUGCCGCGGAUACUGCGAGGCUUGAGUGCUGUAGAGGGGGGUAGAAUGCCGGGUGUAGCGGUGGAAUGCGUAGAGAUCCGGCAGAAGACCGGUGGCGAAGGCGGCCCCCUGGGCAGUAACUGACACUGAGGCGCGACAGCGUGGGGAGCAACAGG
rnacentral:rRNA from 1 species